UUUGCCAUGUUGGUCACGCCGGUCUCGAACUCCUGACCUUAGGUGAUCUGCCUGCCUUAGCCUCCCAAAGUGCUGAGAUUAUAGACAUGAACCUCUGUGCCCAGCCGCUUAAAAGUAUUCUGAGAAUCUCAGAAUCAUUCUAUGGCCAGUUUUGGCAACUGAGGCCCAAAUUUGUGUAAACUUUGAAGGAGAAGUUGUUUUUAAGAAGGCUUAGAAGAUUGAACUUGCUCUUUAUCAAAAUAUUAGUCUAACAUACUUGCAGUCUUUUAUAAUACAUUAUUAUAUUUUAGAGCACAUAAAAACUAUUCUAGUGAAAAAGUUCAUAUUUUAAAUAUUUUCUACAGUUCUCUGUGUAUGAGAUCCUUUAGUUUGCUAUCUACCUUAAGUGCCAGGGUUUAAACAUUUUUGCUGUAUUUUUCAGCUUAGAAAAUCUUCCUAUAAGAAUUAAAUGUGAUCUUUUUUUCUUACUUGUUAACGACUCACUGGCAUUAUACAAGUUUCCACCUACUAUGUCAGGAGAAAGUAUUGAUAAAAUCCUUAAAAUCACAGUAUAAUAGUAUACCUGAGCAUGCUAAAGAAGGAAACAAAUCACUCUCUUCCUUGAAUUAAAAAUUGUCCAAACUGUCUUGUCAUUAAGUGUAUUUUUGGACCUUGACGAAGUAACUACCCUGGAACCGUAAAGUUAGUAAUUCAUUUUAAGAUUUUAGGCUGGGCACCCUGGCUCAUGUCUGUAAUCCCAGCACUUUGGAAGGCCGAGGUGGGUCGAUCACUUGAGGCCAGGAGUUUGAGACCAGCCUGGCCAACAUGGCAAAACCCCCUCUCUAC